UUGAGACAGGUGGUGCAUGGUUGUCGUCAGCUCGUGUCGUGAGAUGUUGGUUAAGUCCCGCAACGAGCGCAACCUUGUGUUUAGUUGCAAACAGGUCAAGCUGUGCACUCUAGACAGACUGCCGUGGACAACACGGAGGAAGGUGGGGAUGACGUCAAAUCAUCAUGCCCCUUAUGAUCUGGGCUACACACGUGCUACAAUGGCCGGUACAACGGGCAGCGAAGGAGCGAUCCGGAGCGAAUCCUAAAAAGCCGGUCCCAGUUCGGAUUGCAGGCUGAAACUCGCCUACAUGAAGUUGGAGUUGCUAGUAAUCGCGAAUCAGAAUGUCGCGGUGAAUGCGUUCCCGGGUCUU
rnacentral:rRNA from 1 species